rnacentral:lncRNA from 1 species
AAAAUAUGGGCACAAAAAGAAACUAAUAUAUGGGUACAAAUUAAAAAUGAAAAAAAAAUUGGUACAAACUAAAAAUAAAAAUAUAUGAUAAAAAUUUAGCCAUAAAUAUAAAUAUACUAAUUGUAACAUUUUUAACACUAAAGGAAUAUAUUUUAAAAUAAAAAUAUUUUAUUAUUCAAAUAAUUAAUGAUGUUAUUACCAAGGACCUUGAUAAAAAAUUGAACAUGAAUAGAAUUUUAAUCAAUGGAGUAGCAAAAAGAAGGAUGUGAACCUAAUUUCUCCUUUUUAUUUUCUUAUUUAUUAAAGGUAAAUUUGAUAAUUUGGUGAAUAAAAUUGUUCAAUUGGGUGUAAUGGUAAAUUAGAUGAGUCCAAAUAAAAAUUUCUCAUAUAUAAUACAUUACAAGGAAUCAUUAGUUUAUUGGUAUUCCUCUUCACUGAUAAAUGAGAGGUGUUAUGUUUGAAUCUAAAAAAUAAUGAGUUCACAACUAAUUUGUUUUCCUACCCCAUAAUGCAAAUAUAGGCUGACUCAUUAGCUAAAAAUGAAAAUAAAGACAGACGAAAAUAUAUUGUAAAUAGACAUAAACUGAUGACAAAAAUACGUUAUCACACUUUUGUUCUAAAAACAAAUACAACACAAGGAGAAAAAACAUGUAUAAAGGAGUAUAAUAAUAUGACGUGAAAGAACGAUAAUAACGUUAUAUGUCUACAACCCAAGUUGUGUUAUAUUUAAUUAUAAUUAAGUAUGGUUAUAUCUUAUUUCAUGUGGACGCUAUAUGGGAUUUAACAUUUCUUGGUUCUUUAUUAGUUUUGAUGGUUGCAGCGAACCUAAGAUGUUGUUGAACUGAUCUAUCCGAACAAAGAUAUAUUGAUUUAUUUUCUUCUUUCUUGCAAACAGUGUUCUGGCAUUAAGGAAAAUAGGAAAAGGGAUUCCCGGAUUCCUUUCCACCUAAUCUUCCUAAUCUUCCUAAGACAUCUAGUCCGGAAUUCGAAUCAUUAAAAUUUGAUCUAACGGCUACCGUUAUUAUCACUUUUAAAGAACUCCCUAUUUAUAAUCGCUGGAUUCUAGACUAGGUGGAUUAUCCCUUUCCGGAAAAUAGAAAGCGGAAGAGUAUAAAAGUAGUGUUAAAUUGUUAACCUAAGUACAAAUAGGAUUCCAGCAGGUAGAUUAGAUAGAUACAUCACUAUUUCCAUCUAAAUUUUCUGCAGAGAAAGACUGAAAGAUUCUCUGAGGUUCUUCGAUAAGAAGGUGGAUUGUUUGCCCUCCCAUUUCCAUACUCU